ACCAGUGUAACACAGUGGUAAGGAGUAGGGCUCGUAACCGUAAGGUUGUUGGUUCGAUUCCCUGUUGGGA